rnacentral:rRNA from 1 species
CACCGCCCGUCACACCACGAAAGCCAGUGGUAACAGAAAUCGCUGUGCUAACCCGCAAGGGAGGCAGGCGCUCAAGUUACGAUUGGUGAUUGGGGUG